GGACUCUAAGGCGAGGUCACGGAGGGCUUCUCAGAGGAGGUGGUGCCAGAUUUGGGCUUUGCAGAAAGCAUUUCUCCCAGUUGGAUGCAGCAGGUUUCCCUGGCAGAAGAACCUAGAAGUGUGAGUGAAUCCUAGAAGCCACCUGGACCUGGCCCUCAGCAGCAGAGUGUGAGCAGUAUGCACUGAGCAGCUGGGCUGUUCCAGGACUGUACCUCAUGCUGGUGGCACGAAGGUGAACGAGGCAGGCAGGCUGAGUAUAUCUAGGCACAGAGGGUGUGUGUGGUCAUUGCAGAGAUGCACAGCUGGCGGCUGCAUCUGCACAGCUGAGAACGUCUGGAUCUUGUUCACACUCAGCCAGAGGAAAGCCCAUGGGAGAGCAGGACUCUGACUCAGCUUGGAAGGAGCUGUAGGAGGGUGAAGCCACACCUCCUUCCAGCCUGACUUGGACCGGUGAGCCGAAGGGACAUCCCCGAGACCCUGCUGCUGCCAUCAUGGUCUCGAUAGACCUCUUUUACUGCUCAGAGAGUGAAACUGUUUUUCAAGUUGUUGUUGAACAUUCCCAGGUCACAGAAAAGAAACUGACUGUCUUACUCCGAAACUGGAAGAUAUUUGUGGUUAAGGCCAAUAUACCCAGGUGGGGAAGUGGAUGGACCCAGUGACUAUUCAAUGGAAAGAUCAAGGGCACAAGCCUUGGAAGAGAGCAGAUGCCAGGCAAAAUGAUCUUUAAGGUGCCUUCUAGCUCUGACUUUUGGUGGGUUUGUUUUUUUUUUUUUAAGUAUGCAGAGUUAGCCAACCUGCAAAAUCUGAGCACACAGUCCCCAGGACUGUCCUUACAUUUAACACCAGUAGCACGUUAGGGGGUUCCCAUAAUCACCAUCGGGUUUGAGAAUUCCCUAGAAGGAUUCUCCGAGCUCACUGAAGAUGUCGUCAUCCCGGUUAUGGUUUAUUACGGGAAAGGAUGCAGUUUCAGCCACGGGGCAAGUCUAGGCGGGUUCCACACACAAAGCUUCCGUGUCCUCAGGAUGCUUUCCAGCCUUGGAUUCAGUGUGUGGCAGGACACACAGGGCUCUGUCUGCCAGGGAAUCUCACCCACUUAAAAACAAACUAUCCUAACUUGUGGUCUCCAGCUCUUCCCGGCAGUCAGACUAAUGCCCUGGAGUCCAGCUCCUCCAGAGGUCAGAACUGAUACCACGUGACCCAGAGGCCCCAUCACGAAAGUCACCUUUUCUGUUUGUCCAGUGGCCAAA